rnacentral:rRNA from 1 species
GAGUUUGAUCGUGGCUCAGAUUGAACGCUGGCGGCAUGCCUUACACAUGCAAGUCGAACGGCAGCAUGAUCUAGCUUGCUAGAUUGAUGGCGAGUGGCGAACGGGUGAGUAAUACAUCGGAACGUGCCCUGUAGUGGGGGAUAACUAGUCGAAAGAUUAGCUAAUACCGCAUACGACCUGAGGGUGAAAGUGGGGGACCGCAAGGCCUCAUGCUAUAGGAGCGGCCGAUGUCUGAUUAGCUAGUUGGUGGGGUAAAGGCCCGACCAAGGCGACGAUCAGUAGCUGGUCUGGGAGGACGAUCAGCCACACUGGGACUGAGACACGGCCCAGACUCCUACGGGAGGCAGCAGUGGGGAAUUUUGGACAAUGGGCGAAAGCCUGAUCCAGCAAUGCCGCGUGUGUGAAGAAGGCCUCGGUGUAG